UACGGAGGGUGCGAGCGUUGUCCGGAAUCACUGGGCGUAAAGCGCACGUAGGCGGCGCAGCAAGUCAGGGGUGAAAUCCCGGGGCUCAACCCCGGAACUGCCUCUGAAACUGCAGUGCUAGAAUCUUGGAGAGGCGAGUGGAAUUCCGAGUGUAGAGGUGAAAUUCGUAGAUAUUCGGAAGAACACCAGUGGCGAAGGCGACUCGCUGGACAAGUAUUGACGCUGAGGUGCGAAAGCGUGGGGAGCAAACAGG
rnacentral:rRNA from 1 species